rnacentral:lncRNA from 1 species
GAUCAGGAUAAGAGACAUGCUCUUGUGGAGAAGCGCUUUAAGAUGGAUACCGCUUACUAUGGCAAGGUCAGGCAAGCAUUGGAGUCGUCUACAAGGGAGCACGAUAUUACCAAGGAGAAGCUAGCCCGAGCUUCAAAGGUCAUUGAAGAUGAGAAGAGGAGGCAAAUCCUCGUGAGGGAUCAGAGGGAAGACAGAGUCAGAGUCCUUAUCGCUGAGUGGGAGGCAAAGAUGAAGAUUAAGGAAACAGAGAAUGUGAAGACUAUUGCUGAGAGAGAUCAUUAUAUCGCCGAGAGAGAUCACUAUAUUGCUGAGAGAGAUCAUUACUUCAGACAGAUGAAGAUUCACCAGAAGGAGAUAGGGAGAUUGCAGCAGGAGAACACCGAG